rnacentral:rRNA from 1 species
GUGAGGAAUUUUCCGCAAUGGGCGAAAGCCUGACGGAGCAAUGCCGCGUGAAGGAUGAAGGCCUAUGGGUUGUAAACUUCUUUUCUCAGAAAAGAAUUAUGACGGUAUCUGAGGAAUAAGCAUCGGCUAACUCUGUGCCAGCAGCCGCGGUAAGACAGAGGAUGCAAGCGUUAUCCGGAAUGAUUGGGCGUAAAGCGUCUGUAGGUUGUUUAAAAAGUAUUCUGUCAAAGAUUAGGGCUUAAACCUAGAUAGGCAGAAUAAACUUUUAAGCUAGAGUUUGGUAGAGGCAGAGGGAAUUCCCGGUGGAGCGGUGAAAUGCGUAGAUAUCGGGAGGAACACCAAAGGCGAAGGCACUCUGCUGGGCCAAUACUAACACUGAGAGACGAAAGCGAGGGGAGCAAAUGGGAUUAGAAACCCUAGUAGUCC